UGGGGGAUAUUGCACAAUGGGCGAAAGCCUGAUGCAGCAACGCCGCGUGAGUGAUGAAGGUCUUCGGAUUGUAAAGCUCUGUCUUUUGGGACGAUAAUGACGGUACCAAAGGAGGAAGCCACGGCUAACUACGUGCCAGCAGCCGCGGUAAUACGUAGGUGGCGAGCGUUGUCCGGAUUUACUGGGCGUAAAGGGUGCGUAGGCGGAUGUUUAAGUGAGAUGUGAAAUACCCGGGCUUAACUUGGGUGCUGCAUUUCAAACUGGAUAUCUAGAGUGCAGGAGAGGAGAAUGGAAUUCCUAGUGUAGCGGUGAAAUGCGUAGAGAUUAGGAAGAACACCAGUGGCGAAGGCGAUUCUCUGGACUGUAACUGACGCUGAGGCACGAAAGCGUGGGUAGCAAACAGGAUUAGAUACCCUGGUAGUCCACGCCGUAAACGAUGAGUACUAGGUGUAGGAGGUAUCGACCCCUUCUGUGCCGCAGUAAACACAUUAAGUACUCCGCCUGGGAAGUACGAUCGCAAGAUUAAAAC
rnacentral:rRNA from 1 species